CCUACGGGAUGCACCAGUGGGGAAUAUUGCACAAUGGGCGCAAGCCUGAUGCAGCCAUGCCGCGUGUGUGAAGAAGGCCUUCGGGUUGUAAAGCACUUCCAGCGGGGAGGAAGGCGUUAAGGUUAAUAACCUUGGCGAUUGACGUUACCCGCAGAAGAAGCACUGGCUAACUCCGUGCCAGCAGCCGCGGUAAUACAGAGGGUGCAAGCGUUAAUCGGAAUUACUGGGCGUAAAGCGCACGCAGGCGGUCUGUCAAGUCGGAUGUGAAAUCCCCGGGCUCAACCGGGGAACUGCAUCUGAUACUGGCAAGCUUGAGUCUCGUAGAGGGGGGUAGAAUUCCAGGUGUAGCGGUGAAAUGCGUAGAGAUCUGGAGGAAUACCGGUGGCGAAGGCGGCCCCCUGGACGAAGACUGACGCUCAGGUGCGAAAGCGUGGGGAGCAAACAGGAUUAGAUACCCUCGUAGUC
rnacentral:rRNA from 1 species